rnacentral:rRNA from 1 species
AACGUAGGAGACAAACGUUAUCGGGAGUUACUGGGCGUAAAGGGCGUGUAGGUGGUUCUGUAAGUCUGGCGUGAAAUUUCUCGGCUUAACCGAGGCAGGUCGUCGGAUACUGCAGGGCUAGAGGACGGUAGAGGCGUGUGGAAUUCCGGGUGUAGUGGUGAAAUGCGUAGAGAUCCGGAGGAACACCAGUGGCGAAGGCGACACGCUGGGCCGUACCUGACACUGAUGCGCGACAGCAUGGGGAGCAAACAGG